AGAGUUUGAUCAUGGCUCAGGAUGAACGCUAGCUACAGGCUUAACACAUGCAAGUCGAGCGGUUUGUGCUUUUGCACAUUCAGCGGCAGACGGGUGAGUAACACGUAUCUAACCUUCCCCUUACUUGGGCAUAGCCUCUGGAAACGGAGAUUAAUUUCCGAUGUGGUGUACAUUUCGCAUGUUUUGCGCACCAAAGAUUUAUCGGUAAGGGAUGGGGAUGCGCUCCAUUAGGUAGUAGGUAGGGUAAUGGCCUACCUAGCCUAUGAUGGAUAGGGGUUCUGAGAGGAAGGUCCCCCACAUUGGAACUGCGACACGGUCCAAACUCCUACGGGAGGCAGCAGUGAGGAAUAUUGGUCAAUGGCCGGAAGGCUGAACCAGCCAAGUAGCGUGCAGGAUGACUGCCUUAUGGGUUGUAAACUGCUUUUUUACGGGAAUAAUUAUGAUCACGUGUGAUUAUUUGCAUGUACCGUAAGAAUAAGGAUCGGCUAACUCCGUGCCAGCAGCCGCGGUAAUACGGAGGAUCCUAGUGUUAUCCGGAUUUAUUGGGUUUAAAGGGAGCGUAGGCGGGAGGUCAAGUCAGCUGUGAAAUGUAUCUGCUUAACGGGUACACUGCAGUUGAAACUGGUUUUCUUGAGUGCGUAAGAGGCAGGCGGAAUUCGUUGUGUAGCGGUGAAAUGCUUAGAUAUGACGAGGAACUCCUAUUGCGAAGGCAGCUUGCUGGGUCGUUACUGACGCUGAUGCUCGAAGGUGCGGGGAUCAAACAGGAUUAGAUACCCUGGUAGUCCGCACAGUAAACUAUGGAUACUCUCUGCCGGCGAUAUAUUGUCGGUGGCCAAGCGAAAGCGUUAAGUAUCCCACCUGGGGAGUACGUUCGCAAGAAUGAAACUCAAAGGAAUUGACGG
rnacentral:rRNA from 1 species